AUGAACGCUGGCGGCGUGCCUAAUACAUGCAAGUCGAGCGAACAGACGAGGAGCUUGCUCCUCUGACGUUAGCGGCGGACGGGUGAGUAACCCGUGGAUAACCUACCUAUAAGACUGGGAUAACUUUGGGAAACCGGAGCUAAUACCGGUAAAUAUAUUGAACCGCCUGGUUCAAUAGUGAAAGACGGUUUUGCUGUCACCUAUAGAUGGAUCCGCGCCGCAUUAGCUAGUUGGUAAGGUAACGGCUUACCAAGGCAACGAUGCGUAGCCGACCUGAGAGGGUGAUCGGCCACACUGGAACUGAGACACGGUCCAGACUCCUACGGGAGGCAGCAGUAGGGAAUCUUCCGCAAUGGGCGAAAGCCUGACGGAGCAACGCCGCGUGAGUGAUGAAGGUCUUCGGAUCGUAAAACUCUGUUAUUAGGGAAGAACAAAUGUGUAAGUAACUAUGCACGUCUUGACGGUACCUAAUCAGAAAGCCACGGCUAACUACGUG
rnacentral:rRNA from 1 species